CACGUAGGGUGCGAGCGUUGUCCGGAAUUAUUGGGCGUAAAGAGCUCGUAGGCGGUCUGUCGCGUCGAUCGUGAAAACUUGGGGCUUAACCCUGAGCUUGCGGUCGAUACGGGCAUGACUGGAGUUCGGCAGGGGAGACUGGAAUUCCUGGUGUAGCGGUGAAAUGCGCAGAUAUCAGGAGGAACACCGGUGGCGAAGGCGGGUCUCUGGGCCGACACUGACGCUGAGGCGCGAAAGCCAGGGGAGCGAACGGG
rnacentral:rRNA from 1 species